rnacentral:sRNA from 1 species
CUACCAGGGUUCGAUUCGAGCGCAGCGAGAAAGCGUUGCCGCAGGCAACGGCCCGAAGGGCGAAGCGCGCAGCGCUGAGUAAUCUCUCCCCCACCACCA